rnacentral:rRNA from 1 species
UCGUAACAAGGUUUCCGUAGGUGAACCUGCGGAAGGAUCAUUACUGAAAUGUAAUAACUUCUAUUGAAAGGUUCCAGAGUAGGCGCUACAACGCCGAAAUGACCUUCUCACCCUUGUGUACUCACUAUGUUGCUUUGGCGGGUCGACCUGGUUCCGACCCAGGCGGCCGGCGCCCCCAGCCUUAACUGGCCAGGACGCCCGGCUAAGUGCCCGCCAGUAUACAAAACUCAAGAAUUCAUUUUGUGAAGUCCUGAUAUAUCAUUUAAUUGAUUAAAACUUUCAACAACGGAUCUCUUGGUUCUGGCAUCGAUGAAGAACGCAGCGAAAUGCGAUAAGUAAUGUGAAUUGCAGAAUUCAGUGAAUCAUCGAAUCUUUGAACGCACAUUGCGCCCUCUGGUAUUCCGGAGGGCAUGCCUGUUCGAGCGUCAUUUCAACCCUCAAGCUCUGCUUGGUAUUGGGCAACGUCCGCUGCCGGACGUGCCUUGAAGACCUCGGCGACGGCGUCCUAGCCUCGAGCGUAGUAGUAAAAUAUCUCGCUUUGGAGUGCUGGGCGACGGCCGCCGGACAAUCGACCUUCGGUCUAUUUUUCCAAGGUUGACCUCGGAUCAGGUAGGGAUACCCGCUGAACUUAAGCAUAUCAA